rnacentral:lncRNA from 1 species
GAGGAGAAAUUGGGAAGAGAUCGGAUCUCUUAAAUGAACAAUAUAAUUAACCAAGAAGGUAUUGGCCUCAACUGGCUUGAUGAAGGGAACGCUGGAACAAUUGACAAAGCUGGAAAGAGGACUUUGCAAGGAGGCAGUUCUCCGGAAACUUCGUCCCUCCGUCCUCUGUGGACAACAUCAAGCCUUCCACAGAUUACAGCCAUUGAGAGCUGGCAUUCGUUAGCAGGCCUACAGCCAAGACGUAGGGAAACCUCAUUAAACAAACACAACGUUCAGGGAAAUGCCUUCAUGAUCUGAGACGGUACAAGUUCAGAGAUCUCCUCCUUCAUGCAAUUGAUUUCAGGGGGGUUAUCGAAAUCCUGUUGUAGCCUUCAGUGCCGUUCAAACGUAAGGCAUUCUGGCUUGAGUUUUAAUAGGCUUUCAGUUUUCAAACGUAAGGGAUUCUGGCUUGAGUUUUAAUAGGCUUUCAGCUGAACAAGUCAGAAACCUAUUUAUGAUGUGUCUUGUGUUAGAGGAAGAAUUGUAAGUGGCUGGCAGAAGGAAUUAGGACAGAAGCUUGAUCACCCCCAUAUGUAUCCUGUUGUAUUAUAAGAACAGUUAGCUAUUUUUCCAGUGAACCUUGGAGGAUGAAUAUCCAGUAGUUUGUUGUUAUGUGCCAUAAACUCACUCCCGAUUUAUGCGACCCUAACAUGAUUUUUCAUUUAUGUAUGUCUGAUGUUCAAGGGGUGGUUCACCAUUGCCAUCCUUCAGUGAAUUUCCGUGUCCCAGCAGGGAUUUGAACCUAGGUCUCCUUGGCCGUAAUACUCUAGCCCCUGCACCACCGUGGCCCCCAUGUUAUUAAUGACAUGCACUAUAUUAUUUCAUGAUUGUAUUGUUUGUUUUGAUUAUUUCUCUUUUUCUGUAUGUAAGCUGCUGUAGGGGGUCUAGUCAACUGGUAGUACAGUAUACAGUAUACAUAUUUUAAGCAUAGAAAUAGAUAGAUCAAUUGAUCUGUUGACCCACAGGCAGGCAGACAGAUAGAUCACCGGCUGCAUGUGGAAAGUAGUAGGUAAGGGAAAUCCUUUGUCUUGCUGUUGUUGGCAUCCAUAUGGAAAGACCAUGUGCUAGCCUUCACAUUGCACCGACUCCUGAGUGAGAGAUAAUGAGAUAUCUUAGCUGCCUGCAUCCACUGCAGAUAUAGACUGGGCUGCAUAAUGUUGUUCAAGGCAAGUUUCUCUUUGACCCAGUUUACACAAACAAUGGACUGAGGGAUAAGACUGCAUCUAGGCUAUGCCAUUACAUACUGCAGCUGGGGCCUCUUAGGACAGAAUGCUCCUUCAAUCAAAGAAAUAAACCAAGGAGAAAGUGGUUUCCA